GACGAACGCUGGCGGCGUGCUUAACACAUGCAAGUCGAACGGAAAGGCCCUGCUUUUGUGGGGUGCUCGAGUGGCGAACGGGUGAGUAACACGUGAGUAACCUGCCCUUGACUUUGGGAUAACUUCAGGAAACUGGGGCUAAUACCGGAUAGGAGCUCCUGCUGCAUGGUGGGGGUUGGAAAGUUUCGGCGGUUGGGGAUGGACUCGCGGCUUAUCAGCUUGUUGGUGGGGUAGUGGCUUACCAAGGCUUUGACGGGUAGCCGGCCUGAGAGGGUGACCGGCCACAUUGGGACUGAGAUACGGCCCAGACUCCUACGGGAGGCAGCAGUGGGGAAUAUUGCACAAUGGGCGGAAACCUGAUGCAGCAACGCCGCGUGCGGGAUGACGGCCUUCGGGUUGUAAACCGCUUUCGCCUGUGACGAAGCGUGAGUGACGGUAAUGGGUAAAGAAGCACCGGCUAACUACGUGCCAGCAGCCGCGGUGAUACGUAGGGUGCGAGCGUUGUCCGGAUUUAUUGGGCGUAAAGGGCUCGUAGGUGGUUGAUCGCGUCGGAAGUGUAAUCUUGGGGCUUAACCCUGAGCGUGCUUUCGAUACGGGUUGACUUGAGGAAGGUAGGGGAGAAUGGAAUUCCUGGUGGAGCGGUGGAAUGCGCAGAUAUCAGGAGGAACACCAGUGGCGAAGGCGGUUCUCUGGGCCUUUCCUGACGCUGAGGAGCGAAAGCGUGGGGAGCGAACAGGCUUAGAUACCCUGGUAGUCCACGCUGUAAACGGUGGGUACUAGGUGUGGGGUCCAUUCCACGGGUUCCGUGCCGUAGCUAACGCUUUAAGUACCCCGCCUGGGGAGUACGGCCGCAAGGCUAAAACUCAAAGGAAUUGACGGGGCCCCGCACAAGCGGCGGAGCAUGCGGAUUAAUUCGAUGCAACGCGUAGAACCUUACCUGGGUUUGACAUGGAUCGGGAGUGCUCAGAGAUGGGUGUGCCUCUUUUGGGGUCGGUUCACAGGUGGUGCAUGGCUGUCGUCAGCUCGUGUCGUGAGAUGUUGGGUUAAGUCCCGCAACGAGCGCAACCCUUGUUCACUGUUGCCAGCACGUUAUGGUGGGGACUCAGUGGAGACCGCCGGGGUCAACUCGGAGGAAGGUGGGGAUGACGUCAAGUCAUCAUGCCCCUUAUGUCCAGGGCUUCACGCAUGCUACAAUGGCUGGUACAGAGAGUGGCGAGCCUGUGAGGGUGAGCGAAUCUCGGAAAGCCGGUCUCAGUUCGGAUUGGGGUCUGCAACUCGACCUCAUGAAGUCGGAGUCGCUAGUAAUCGCAGAUCAGCAACGCUGCGGUGAAUACGUUCCCGGG
rnacentral:rRNA from 1 species